CUUAGAGUUUGAUCCUGGCUCAGGAUGAACGCUGGCGGUAUGCUUAACACAUGCAAGUCGAACGGAGUACAUUGUACUUAAUGGCGGAAGGGUGAAUAACGCGUGAAAAUCUGCCUUCGAGAUGGGGAUAACAGUGGGAAACCAAUGGUAAUACCCCAUGAGCCCAGAGGUAAAAAAUUUAUUGCCUGAAGAAGAGCUCGCGUCCGAAUAAUUAGUUGGUGGGAUAAAGGCCUACCAAGGCGGAGAACGGUAACUGGUCUGAAAAGAAGAACGGUCACACUGGGACUGAAACACCGCCCAAAAUCCUACCGGAAGCAGCAGUGGGGAAUUUUCCGCAAUGGGCGCAAGCCUGACGGAACAAUAACGCGUGAGGGGGGAAGGGCUUUGGGUUGUAAACCUCUUUUCUUAAGGAAGAAGCUCUGACGGUACUUAAGGAAUCAGCAUCGGCUAACUCCGUGCCAGCAGCCGCGGUAAUACGGAGGAUGCAAGCGUUAUCCGGAAUUAUUGGGCGUAAAGCGUCCGUAGGCGGCUAUUAUAAGUCUGCUGUCAAAGACCGCAGCUCAACUGCGGAGAGGCAGUGGAGACUGUAGAGCUAGAGUCUGGUAGGGGUAGAGGGAAUUCCCAGUGUAGCGGUGAAAUGCGUAGAGAUUGGGAAGAACACCAGUGGCGAAAGCGCUCUGCUGGAGCAGAACUGACGCUGAGGGACGAAAGCUAGGGGAGCGAUAGGGAUUAGAUACCCCUGUAGUC
rnacentral:rRNA from 1 species